UAUGUUUUAUGAGUGCGGUCCAACACUUGAGUUUCGCAUGGCAUUGACAAAAGGACGCAGGUUUCCAAAUUGGUUUUUCCUGAUCGGCCACGAAACAGUAUUUUGUGUGUUUUGAAUAUUGAUAAUUUGGAAGAUGAUGGCAAAUAGUAUUUUGUAUAUAUGUUAUGUUGUUAUAAUAUUGCUGUAUUGUAAUAAAAGCGGCAGCUCAGAAAAGAUAUACGCAGCGAGCUAGUCAACAAACUUAA
rnacentral:lncRNA from 1 species